UAGGGAAUCUUCCGCAAUGGACGCAAGUCUGACGGAGCAACGCCGCGUGAGUGAAGAAGGAUUUCGGUUCGUAAAACUCUGUUGUUAGAGAAGAACAGCGCAUAGAGUAACUGUUAUGCGUGUGACGGUAUCUAACCAGAAAGCCACGGCUAACUACGUGCCAGCAGCCGCGGUAAUACGUAGGGCGCAAGCGUUAUCCGGAAUUAUUGGGCGUAAAGAGCUUGUAGGCGGUUCGUCGCGUCUGGUGUGAAAGCCCAUCGCUUAACGGUGGGUUUGCGCCGGGUACGGGCGGGCUAGAGUGCAGUAGGGGAGACUGGAAUUCCCGGUGUAGCGGUGGAAUGUGUAGAUAUCGGGAAGAACACCAAUGGCGAAGGCAGGUCUCUGGGCUGUUACUGACGCUGAGAAGCGAAAGCGUGGGGAGCGAACAGG
rnacentral:rRNA from 1 species